rnacentral:rRNA from 1 species
UUCGUAGGGUGCAGGCGAUCAUCGGAAUUACUGGGCGUAAAACGUGCGCAGGCGGCUCCUUAAGUCAGAUGUGAAAGCCACGGGCUUAACCCGGGAACUGCGUUUGAAACUGGGGAGCUAGAGUGUGGAAGAGGGGGGUGGAAUUCCAGGUGUAGCAGUGAAAUGCGUAGAGAUCUGGAGGAACACCGAUGGCGAAGGCAGCCCCCUGGGCUAACACUGACGCUCAUGCACGAAAGCGUGGGGAGCAAACAGG